UACGUAGGGUGCAAGCGUUAAUCGGAAUUACUGGGCGUAAAGCGUGCGCAGGCGGUUUUGUAAGUCUGUCGUGAAAUCCCCGGGCUUAACCUGGGAAUUGCGAUGGAGACUGCAAGGCUAGAGUCUGGCAGAGGGGGGUAGAAUUCCACGUGUAGCAGUGAAAUGCGUAGAGAUGUGGAGGAACACCGAUGGCGAAGGCAGCCCCCUGGGUCAAGACUGACGCUCAUGCACGAAAGCGUGGGGAGCAAACAGG
rnacentral:rRNA from 1 species